rnacentral:rRNA from 1 species
CCCUAUGGGGUGCAGCAGUUACGAAAACUCCGCAAUGGGCUAACGCCCGACGGGGGGACUCCCAGUGCCUGCGCAAUGCGUAGGCUGUUCUACCGCCUAAAAAGCAGUAGGAGGAAAGGGCGGGUAAGACGGGUGCCAGCCGCCGCGGUAAUACCCGCGCCCUGAGUGGUGGUCGUUUUUACUGAGCCUAAAGCGUCCGCAGCCGGCCCUGUAAAUCUUUGGGUAAAUCGGGCAGCUUAACUGUCCGAAUUCCGAGGACACUGCAGGGCUUGGGACCGGGAGAGGCUGGAGGUACUCCUGGGGUAGGGGUAAAAUCCUGUAAUCCUGGGAGGACCACCGGUGGCGAAGGCGUCCAGCUAGAACGGAUCCGACGGUAAUGGACGAAGGCCUGGGGCGCAAACGGGAUUAGAUACCCCGGUAGUCCAGGCUGUAAACGCUGCGAGCUUGGUGUUGGGGCUCCUACGGGGGGCCCCAGUGCCGGAGCGAAGGUGUUAAGCUCGCCGCUUGGGGAGUACGGCCGCAAGGCUGAAACUUAAAGGAAUUGGCGGGAGAGCACCGCAACGGGAGGAGCGUGCGGUUCAAUUGGAUUCAACGCCGGAAAACUCACCUGGGGCGACUGGUACAUGUGGGCCAGGCUGAUGACCUUGCCUGAAUUCCAGAGAAGAAGUGCAUGGGC